ACAAGAAUGCAAUGAAAUUAAGUGGACAGACAUAGCCUAGGAUAGGCCUGGGAAGCACUGGGUAUUUGGCUUUUUUAAAUCCCUCUUUUGUUGUUACUGAGACGGAAAUGAACUGCACAUAGAAGGGGAUAUAUUCCCUUCAAGAUCUUAUAGUAUUUAGAGCCUCAAACACAGGACCAGUUUAUCCAAGGGACUGCCUGCUGUUCUUCAUCCCAUCCCUGAAAGAAAGAAGAGUAAGGAUGCAGCUGCUGCCAGUCCUCAGCAGAAUGGCAGGAAGCAGGAACUUCGAAGACCCAAACCCCUUUCUUUCCAUACACAAUACUGCCAGACCAAGUCAGUGUCAGCCUUCAAGGUGAGAGACUCAAGACAAUGGGUUUCUGUUUAUGAUGCUGAGCACUGGGUCAACUGUUUGCAGAGUAAUGCACACAAAAGCAAUGUUGGGAUUUGGAAGCUGGGUCAUGAUUUGGGCACACAGUGGAACUUACAACAAAUGGAGCAGUUAAACUGAAGACGCUGUCUACUUCUCUGACCAGCUGGACCUGGGCAAACCCCACUACAACUCUGCAUGCUUCCUACUCUGCACUCCCAGAAAGCCCAGGGAAAGGGAGACUAGGGUCAAUGGGUAGCAGAACUAUAAGUGCAGACCACAGGAAUGGACCCGUUGGAGGCUUUAUAACCAUUUUUUUUCCAAACAUAAAAAUGCACUCACCCACUGCCAAACCCAAAAAGUAAUUUAACAAUUAAUUUUUAGAAGAAACAGGAGGAGGAAUCUACAGCCAAGGGGAUGCUGCUCUCCAAGCAAACCAAAUCUAAGAUAGUGGUACUUGUUUCAGUCUUUUCAGAAAGCUUGCAGUGGUGGUGUUGUCUGGGAUGUUCCAUCAGAGGUGUCAUUUCUCUAAUUUUGCAUUGCUUUCACUUUUGAAAUAAAACUCAGCCCAAGUGUCUGAGUAGGCGCCAUUCCCCUGUGGGCUGUUCUGAAGAACAUUCCCCAGAGGCCUUUUGGGGAACUGAAAUCACCAAGAAACUCCACUGUACAAGCAGCUACAACAUGAAGUAUGGUGCCUCUCUCUCACUCUUGGCUUCCUCUUUCUCAAGAGCCACAGCAACCACAACACCUGAUAAACUUCUUUGAACUGAGGGGGGGGAAAUCCUGUAUGAAAGGAGUUCAGCCAGGAAGACUGCUAAGACGUGUGAACCUGAAAGUAAAAUUCGGACUUGAAGAGGGGUCAAGGCCACGAAACAGAAAGUCAUAUCAAAAUAGCCAAGUUCCCGUUACCUAGUGUGAGAAAUAAGUAGAACUGUGAACCAUGUUCGUUCUAAGAAUGAAACAGUGGGGGAGGAGUAGAUCUGAUCUAAGAAAUGGAGGUCAAAAGUAAUAGACAAAACAUUUCAGUACACAUCCUGUGUUUGCACCUGGGGCUCAGAGAGAGACACCAAAGUCAAUGCAGGAAAACAGAAUAAUGAAGGAUGUCAAGGUCUUGGAUGGUACUCUGUACCCCACCCGUCCAAGGAAAUAGAUAUACUGCAGCACCCCUCCACUCCUAUGGGUAAUAAGACAUGCUGGAGGCUCCUCUCAUUCUUGCGAGUAAAAACAACAGAUGAAAGCCACAACUGGUUUCUAGUCAUGCAGCUCUGCAGCACUGGACAGACUUGCUGACUUAAUUCAAAGCUUCAGGAGAACCAGUAAAGAGCAGCCAGCUGUUUACUUAUCUCCUCCUCAGAUACAGAUUAACACGGCUACCCCUCUGAAACCUGAAGUCAAUGGGAAUCUUUGGAUCAGGCCCUCAUUGCUCUAGAAGAAGCUGAAACCUCCUGUGCCCACAGUGUAUGUGGCAGGGGUGGGAAGAAGAAAGAACACUUCACAAUCAAGGGAACAGAUUCAUCAACACACCAAAGCAGCACAACCAGUCAGAGAGCACCAACCAGUUAAGCUGGGUUUAUAGCUGCUCUGCAGCACCUGAGCAGCACAAAGCAGGGACAUCUAAGAGUCAAUUGCCGCCUAUGGAAUCCUUGAAUUCAUCCUCCGCUUCCUAUAACUCCAGUGAGGAGAAAGCUGACUAAAGAAAUUGACCUCACACAGCAGAAGGCAACUUCCACUGAUAGGCCCCCCACAGCAGCUUGUGUUGCUGUCUGCAUUGAGCGAUGAGUAUCUAUAAGCCUCCAUGAAGAGCCACACAGGGAGGGACUAAUGUUACCUUGUACAACCUUUGGAAGAAGAACCUGCAAAGAAUUUCCCCAAGACAAUCCACGUCAGAUGAAUGCGUAAGAUGCCGCUGCGCCCUUAAGGGAUACCCCCUCCACUGCAGCGGAACAACUGACCCAAAUAAGGAAGAGAAAAAGGAGACUAUGUAGGAGGACAUCUUCUGCAAGAUCCUGCAAGCCAGUGCUGCAUCAGACCUUGAACAGCGGGCCUGGAGGGUGAAUAUGGCAGAUUGCAUGGAGAAGGAAAGAGCAGACAGGAGAAAGGCGCAGGGAAGGGGAAGGGGAAGGGAGAUGCACCAGGACAGAAUGAGCUUCUUCAGCAAACUCAGAUGCUGCAGACUCUUGUGAACCUCCAGGUUGAACAAUCCUGAGCUCGACUCCCAUUGCAGUCUGUGGAAAACUACAGCACAGCACCUCUCUACACCUCACUCAGCAUUCCACAUGGUUCAGGGUCUGCAAACCUACUCCUACCACUCCACUCUGGGGAAAAGCAUGGAUAACCAUAGCUUCACAUACAUGACCUGUGAGAGCCGCAGUUGAUAUAUGUAUAUCCGCAGUUGAUAUAUAGCUACAAUGGACAUCAAUGUUCGUUACUAUUUGUUUAUUAAGGUUCCUAAAAAAAAUUGAAUUAAAAUGUAUUUACUUAAAGUUCUUCAGUUUUUUUUAGCUGUUUUUGUAACUGAAUAAAACUUUUGUUUUGAAAGUUAUUCAUCUUUAUUCAUUUACAACACAUGGUGCAUAAUGCCUGCUGGUGCAUGGUGCAUAAUGCCUUAUUAGUAGUCUUGUACACUUACAACCAGUCCUAAACAGCAUAAUCAUCAAAUGUACAGCAAGCACCCCGACAUUCAUGAUAUAUGCACAGCUGUAAAGCAGCACCACACAAAUUCCUAAUAGGUCCCUGAACUACAACCUAGGUUGAGCAAAGUACACUACAGCACAUUAACAGCAAGUCACAGUAAAGUACUCUUUCAAACCUCCCUAAACCCCGGUCUACACUAGGACUUUAGGUCGAAUUUAGCAGCGUUAAAUCGAUGUAAACCUGCAACCAUCCACACGAUGAAGCCCUUUAUUUCGACUUAAAGGGCUCUUAAAAUCGAUUUCCUUACUCCACCCCUGACAAAUGGAAUAGCACUUAAAUCGGCCUUGCCAGGUCAAAUUUGGGGUACUGUGGACACAAUUCGACGGUAUUGGCCUCUGGGAGCUAACCCAGAGUGCUCCAUUGUGACUGCUCUGGACAGCACUCUCAACU